rnacentral:lncRNA from 1 species
AUGUCGUUGGUUCCCUCGAAAAUGCGGAAAAUCCUCAAAUCCCGCAGCACCCGCUCCACGCCCUGCUCCUGCAACCCAAAAUUCCCAAAAAUUCCCAAAAAUUCCCAAAAUUCCCACCGAAAAUCCAACAAAUCCCACAAACAGCAUCAAAAAUCCCAAAAAUUCCCAAAAAUUCCCACCGAAAAUCCCCCAAAUCCCACAAAAAGCAUCAAAAUUCUCAAAAAUUUCCACCAAAAAUCCAACAAAUCCCACAAAAAGCAUCAAAAAUCCCAAAAAUUCCCACCGAAAAUCCACCAAAUCCCACAAAAAGCAUCAAAAAUCCCAAAAAUUCCCACUGAAAAUCCACCCAAUCCCACAAAAACAUCAAAAAUCCCAAAACAUCCCCAAAAUUCCCCAAAAUUCCCACCGAAAAUCCAACAAAUCCCACAGAAAGCAUCAGAAAUCCCAAAAAUUCCCAAAAAUUCCCACCAAAAAUCCCCCCAAAUCCCACAGAAAACAUCAAAAAUCCCAAAAAUUCCACCAAAAAUCCCCCAUAUCCCACAAAAAGCAUCAAAAAUCCCAAAAAUUCCCCAAAAUUCCCACCAAAAAUCCCCCAAAUCCCACAAAAAGCAUCAAAAAUCCCAAAAAUUCCCAAAAAUUCCCACCAAAAAUCCCCCAAAUCCCACAAAAAGCAUCAAAAAUCCCAAAACAUCUCCAAAAUUCCCAAAAAUUCCCACCAAAAAUCCCACAAAUCCCACAAAAAGCAUCAAAAAUCCCAAAAAUUCCCAAAAAUUCUCACCAAAAAUACCCCAAAUCCCACAAAAAGCAUCAAAAAUCCCAAAAUUCCCAAAAAAUCCCAAAAUUCCCACCAAAAAUCCACCAAAUCCCACAAAAACAUCAAAAAUCCCAAAAAUUCCCAAAAAUUCCCACCAAAAAUCCCCCAAAUCCCACAAAAAGCAUCAAAAAUCCCAAAAAUUCCCACCAAAAAUCCCACAAAAAGCAUCAAAAAUCCCAAAAAUUCCCACCGAAAAUCCACCAAAUCCCACAAAAAGCAUCAAAGAUCCCAAAACAUCCCCAAAAUUCGCCAAAAUUCCCACCAAAAAUCCCAAAAAUUCCCAAAAAUUCCCCCCAAAAAACCCCAAAUCCCACAGAAAGCAUCAAAAAUCCCAAAAAUUCCAAAAAAUUCCCAAAAAUUCCCACCGAAAAUUCACCAAAUCCCACAAAAAGCAUCAGAAAUCCCAAAAUUCCCAAAAAUUCCCACCAAAAAUCCCACAAAUCCCACAAAAAGCAUCAGAAAUCCCAAAACAUUCCCAAAAUUCCCCAAAAUUCCCAUCAAAAAUCCACCAAAUCCCACAAACAGCAUCAAAAAUCCCAAAAAUUCCAAAAAAUUCCCACCAAAAAUCCACCAAAUCCCACAGAAAGCAUCAAAAAUUCCCAAAAUUCCCAAAAAUUCCCACCAAAAAUCCAACAAAUCCCACAAAAACAUCAAAAAUUCCCCAAAAUUCCCAGAAAUUCCCACCAAAAAUCCCACAAAUCCCACAAAAAGCAUCAAAAAUACCAAAACAUCCCCAAAAUUCCCCAAAAUUCCCACCAAAAAUCCACCCAAAUCCCACAAAAACAUCAAAAAUCCCAAAAAUUCCCCAAAAUUCCCACCGAAAAUUCACCAAAUCCCACAAAAAACAUCAAAAAUCCCAAAAAUUCCCAAAAAUUCCCACCGAAAAUCCCACAAAUCCCACAAAAAGCAUCAAAAAUCCAAAAAAUUCCCAAAAAUUCCCACCAAAAAUCCCCCAUAUCCCACAAAAAGCAUCAAAAAUCCCAAAACAUCCCCAAAAUUCCCACCAAAAAUCCCACAAAUCUCACAAAAACAUCAAAAAUCCCAACAAUUCUCAAAAAUUCCCACCGAAAAUCCACCAGAUCCCACAAACAGCAUCAAAAAUCCCAAAACAUAACCAAAAUUCCCAAAAAUUCCCACCGAAAAUCCCACAAAUCCCACAAAAAGCAUCAAAAAUCCCAAAACAUCCCCAAAAUUCCCACUGA